GAUGAACGCUGGCGGCGUGCCUAAUACAUGCAAGUCGAGCGAACGGACGAGAAGCUUGCUUCUCUGAUGUUAGCGGCGGACGGGUGAGUAACACGUGGAUAACCUACCUAUAAGACUGGGAUAACUUCGGGAAACCGGAGCUAAUACCGGAUAAUCUUUUGAACCGCAUGGUUCAAAAGUGAAAGACGGUCUUGCUGUCACUUAUAGAUGGAUCCGCGCUGCAUUAGCUAGUUGGUAAGGUAACGGCUUACCAAGGCAACGAUGCAUAGCCGACCUGAGAGGGUGAUCGGCCACACUGGAACUGAGACACGGUCCAGACUCCUACGGGAGGCAGCAGUAGGGAAGCUUCCGCAAUGGGCGAAAGCCUGACGGAGCAACGCCGCGUGAGUGAUGAAGGUCUUCGGAUCGUAAAACUCUGUUAAGAGGGAAGAACAUAUGUGUAAGUAACUGUGCACAUCUUGACGGUACCUAAUCAGAAAGCCACGGCUAACUACGU
rnacentral:rRNA from 1 species